UACGGAGGGUGCAAGCGUUAUCCGGAUUCACUGGGUUUAAAGGGUGCGUAGGUGGGUCUGUAAGUCAGUGGUGAAAUCUCCGAGCUUAACUUGGGAACUGCCAUUGAUACUAUUGAUCUUGAAUACCGUGGAGGUCAGCGGAAUAUGUCAUGUAGCGGUGAAAUGCUUAGAUAUGACAUAGAACACCAAUUGCGAAGGCAGCUGGCUACGCGAAUAUUGACACUGAUGCACGAAAGCGUGGGGAUCAAACAGG
rnacentral:rRNA from 1 species